UGCAUAUGAUGUGAAGAUUCGGUAAAUGCAUAUAAUGUGAGAAAUGUAUAUUGCAUGAUAAUUGCAUAUGAAUAUAAUGCAUGCUAGUUGAUAAUGACAAAUUAAUAUGUUGAAUGUUAGAUGAAAGUAUGAACUAAAUGUUAGAGAGAUGCAUGAAAGUGAUGUUGUAUGAAUGCAUAGGCUAUAUUAUGCAAGUUGGAACAUAUGCAUGUUAAUGUAUUUGUGGACUAUGUUGAGUAACAUAUGCUAAUUAACAUAUGCUUGUUGACUUGGGUCUAAAACUCUUGGAUGAUUAGAAAACUCGACAUUGGAAAUACAAAUGUAGUAUUAAUAUCAUGAUAUGGUUUGAAUUCCUACAAUGGGAUGAUAAAUGUGGAUAAGACCUAGGUAAAUGACAACCUAGAGAUUUUGUACAAGUAGUGCAUCGAGAACACUUGAAUUAUGACAAGUGGCAUGUAGUUAAUGUGAACCUAUGACGAGUGGCAUAUAUGAAUCUUAGUGUAGCUGAAACACUAGAUUAAUGAGUAUAGAAACCUAUUGGUUCUAUGUUGAUGCUAUCCUUAGUUGAUAGGAUGUUCCCAGUUUAUGUGGAUUUGGAUCGAGCUCACAUAGCCUGUCUGCGCCUGUUGUGGUCGCCCCACACAGGUAGUGCACUCCGGAGUUGUCACACGAGGAGGGCCAGUGUAGUUGCCCUUGGACCAUUGUAGCUGUCCGCAGGCGUUCUCGGGGGUAGUUGAGUCUAGACUCCUCCCCUAGGAGGUUUAUAUACGUGAGAUUUGAUGCGAGCCUUGAGUUCGCCGAGAGAUUGGGUAACAAGUUAUGAGCUAUAGUGAUUGUCCUAGUUGAGGGGAUUUAAGGUCGAGGUGCAAGUGAGACGUC
rnacentral:lncRNA from 1 species